rnacentral:rRNA from 1 species
GACGAACGCUGGCGGCGUGCUUAACACAUGCAAGUCGAGCGGAGCGGCGAACGGGUGAGUAACACGUGGGUGACCUGCCCUCCACUCUGGGAUAAGCCCGGGAAACUGGGUCUAAUACCGGAUAGUGGGGGAUGGGCCCGCGGCCUAUCAGCUUGUUGGUGGGGUGAUGGCCUACCAAGGCGGUGACGGGUAGCCGGCCUGAGAGGGCGACCGGCCACACUGGGACUGAGACAGGGCCCAGACUCCUACGGGAGGCAGCAGUGGGGAAUAGUGCGCAAUGGGCGGAAGCCUGACGCAGCGACGCCGCGUGGGGGAUGACGGCCUUCGGGUUGUAAACCUCUUUCGCCAGGGACGCGGUACCUGGAGAAGAAGCACCGGCCAACUACGUGCCAGCAGCCGCGGUAAUAC